AACGUAGGACGCAAGCGUUAUCCGGAGUUACUGGGCGUAAAGCGCGAGCAGGCGGCUCGAUGCGUCCGAUGUGAAAGCGCCCGGCUAAACCGGGCGAGGCCAUUGGAAACGGUCGAGCUGGAGGGCAGUAGAGGCAGGCGGAAUUCCGGGUGGAGUGGUGAAAUGCGUAGAUAUCGGGAGGAACACCAGUGGCGAAGGCGACUACCUGGCCUGUUCUUGACGCUGAGGCGCGAAAGCUAGGGGAGCAAACGGG
rnacentral:rRNA from 1 species